AUGCUUAUAGAUGUUGCUAUUGAGAAAGUGAAAGGGUUGAUUUUUUUUCUUAGGUAUAGAGAAAGUGGCUAGUUAGAAGCAUUGGAGAUAGCCAAAAAGAUUGCACUUGAUAUGGUUAUUAGUACAACAUUUCAUGAAAAACGAGAAAUUAAGAGAAAGAGACAUUUUGAUGAGAACCCAGAUGACAAAAAUGUUGCCACAUAGUCUGCAGAGGAAUCAUUUAGAAACGGUUAUUUUACAACUAUUGUUGAUUAA
rnacentral:rRNA from 1 species